rnacentral:rRNA from 1 species
GACAGAGGGUGCAAACGUUGUUCGGAAUUACUGGGCGUAAAGCGUGUGUAGGCGGUCCGCUAAGUCGGGUGUGAAAGCCCUGGGCUCAACCCAGGAAGUGCACUCGAAACUGGCGGGCUAGAGUAUCGGAGAGGUUGGUGGAAUUCUCGGUGUAGAGGUGAAAUUCGUAGAUAUCGGGAGGAACACCGGUGGCGAAGGCGGCGACCUGGGUUGACAUUGACGCUGAGGCGCGAAAGCGUGGGGAGCAAACAGG